UACUCACACCGAUAACAAAAGUCUUUCUCUG
rnacentral:piRNA from 1 species